UUUUUUUUUUUUUUUUAUAAACUAAACCUGAUGGAAUGUUGCGUAAGCAGGUGCAGGUCACCAAACAGCUUUUAGCAUAUGUGCAGUUGAUCAUUACUGUACUUUAUUCACACAAAAGCAGCAAUGGAUUAACUCCACUUUUCAGAUCUGGAAGUCGCUGAGAAAGUAAAGUUCUCCCUAGGUAGUAUGAGCUGCCUUCAGCCCACCACACCAAUCAUAACAAAGCAUUAAAUUCUUCCUAGAAUCCAGACCUGCAUUACCUCCCACAGCUGCACAUCCCUGACAGAGAUAUUUGGCUUUCUUAUGGGCUAAAGCCAGGUCUUUAUUCACUCUCCUGGUUUAAUAUUACCAUUAAGCAUUAUGGAAAAGUGGGGACUGCAAACAGCACUGGCUCAGGCUUGCAACAGAAACACAACAAUUUGCAUAACAAUAAAUACUUACUGGCCCAGUUUUACCAGUGUGAGAGGUUAAAGUUUUUGGACAGCAAAGAACAGUUUAUCAGGUACCCCAAAUGCUCUGCACCUGAUCAAAUUCAGACCAGGGAACGUAGGCAGCAACAACUGCGUCAGCUGAACGUUAGUUCAGGGUUCUGAUUUCUUGAUGUGUUGUGCUCUGAAACGGCUCUUCUAAACAUAUGGCUUACCUAAUUGAGGGUUUGGACUAGCACCAAAAUUACAAAUUGCGUAUGCAGGCUGAAAAUACAAUGAUAUAUGCAUUAUGGGAAACCAAAAAUAGAGGAUGAGACUGAGGGAUCAUAAAAGCAAAAGAAAGAAUUAAUUAUGAGGAAAAGAGAAGUAGUUAAUUAAAAUCAUGAGGCUUACAAUCAGAGCUGGAAAAACUAAAACUGAAAUCCCAGCAACUCGGCAUGCUCUGAUUCACAUCCAAACGACUCCAAACACAGCUGUGAGAAGGAAAUAUGUUCCAUUUGCCUGCUCUUGCAGGCAUCCUCCCCAUGCAGAGAAAAUGCACAAGCAAGCAAUUCCAAAAGUGACUCUCCAGCACUCUGUGGGGCGUGGAACAGCCAGUGAAGCACACUGCAUCCUGCCUGGGAGCUGUGCUGGAAGGGCUGCAUCGCACAGCUCAAAUGCUUGGCACAGCAUCCAGAUAAAUGUCUACUAAUGAAAUUCACUUAACCAGAAACACUGACUGGAAACAGUUUAGAAUCAACCAUUACAUCACGCUUCCUUACUGAUAUUGAUACAAAUGUGACAGCUGUUUACCUAAACAGCCUGUUCUGAAACAUCUCUCAUGCUGAUAAGAGUCCUGAAUUCAUGUGAAUUUUUUUGUUUUGACUACAAGCUAAGUUUCAUUUUCUAUUCACAUUAUUCAGCUCAUUUUUUAAAGCAUUAAACCUUAAGGCAAUUGCAAAUACAAAUAUUCUCAGAAAUCCAAGUCACAAUGUUUUGGGUUUUUUUCUAUCUCCUUAUCGGGUUUGCUUUGAAGGUUUUUCUGCUAGAGCAAUUUCUUUCAGCUCACUUUUGAUUUUUCUGAACUUUCAAUGCAUUAUUAAAAACAAUUUUUACCUGGAAUACAUAAUUGCCUGGGGCUUUUUUAGUCAUAUUAGAUGAAAAACUCAGAUUACGGAAUAUAAAAUGUCAGUUUUCACAUUAAGCAAAUCCAAAUCCUAUAGGCAGGCAAACUUAAGAAUUUGUCUCCUACAAUAUCUUAUUCUCAUUUAGAACAGCUAAACAGAAAUGAAUAGAGUAGCACGUUAUUAAAUAUUACUACUUUUUCUUGCAUUUUGUGGGCUAAGGAAUGCAAAGCUGUUUCAUUUAGAGGACAACACCCCUUAAAAUACAGUGACAGAUGGCAACAUUGCAUAUAUGUGUGAGAAGAAUCGGGUCUGAGCACAGAGAAACACAGCACCCCAAAUGCAGUAAACAAUUAUCCUUUAUGCCUUUCUGUGUUUGUUUUAGAAAGCUCCAGAAUGUACUAGGUAAUACUAGAGCUAGCACCAGAAAAUGCUGUCAGCAAACACACUGGAAUUAAGGAGAUUGCCUAGGAAGUUUAGCAGCUCACUUCCAUGGAAAGAAAUGGAGGCAGCUUGAGAGGAGGGAUUGCUGAAACUCUGACUUCACAGCACAGCUCAUGACUGCUACAGGAAUUCUCCAGGUGAGACUUUCAGCCAGUCCCAGGGAUUCCCUCAGGCAGCCUGUGCCAAGCAUUUACCACCUGACAGGUGCUCCUGAAUCCUUCAGUGCUUCCAUAACAUUGAGAGAGGGACAGGCGUGUCUUAGCAGCUUCCUCAGGUAGCCCCUGGUUUAGAAGCAAAUUCUACCCUUUUUCAGUAGAGAAGACACUGUCAGAAGAGACCUCCUGCAGAUGAAAGAAUUGUCCCAUAUGGCUCUCUCCUGGUGAAACAGUGUGAAGUUUUGCACAGAACUUCAAGUAAUUGAAGGAAACAUCACACACAAAUUGGAGUCAUCAGGCAGAACCACAGGCCAGCUGGAUAGAUGAGUUCAGCAGAACAACAAAACUGUCCAGGGAGUCUUAGCUCAAUCCAUCAAGUCACCAUGCCAGGAUCAUAAGAUUAUCUAAAUAAGCUUCUUAUUUUAAUGAGCUCCCAACUCUGACUUCAAUACAAUCAGCCCUCCAGAAGUUUCAGGUUCUCCUGAGAAGCUUCAAACUCUUUUGUAUUGUUUUGGCCAAAGAUAGUUGUAAACAUCACGUGACUUGUAUCUCACUAAAUGAUCCAAUUCACUGACGGAGAAUUGAAUAAUAUACACAAUACAAAUACAUAAUUUGUUAUUAUGGGCAAAAAUCUAGGUAUGUCAUUGUAUAUGGGAGUCUAAAAAAGUAGUUAUCCACAGUGGAACAAAAUGAGUUGGGAGAACUUUCUGAACAACUACAGAA
ensembl:lncRNA